CGUAAAGCGGGCCGUUUAUGGGCCUGCGCGAUGAGCAAGUUCGUACACAUAGGAAGCCCUACUUGUCAGGCGGCGACGGCGACGGCGGCGGCGGGAUGAGCACGCCUAUCGUCGAUCCAUAUCAGGGAGAAUUUCUCGAGAUAAUUGAGUAGUACUUGCAGCAUGGUACUAUGUAAUGUAUCGUGUUUAACUGUAGAGAUGUUCCUGAUGAGCAGCCAGAGAUGCCUUGGAAGCUCAUCAAUGCUGGCGGACCAUUCUAGUUCCCCAUCCUCACUGAAUGCUGUACAGAUGGUCAAUCUAUUCCUCUGUCGUCAAGCCCAAUGGAAGGCUUUCUUUUCUGCAAUUUCUUGUGUCAGUCAGUUCCUUUGAUCCUGUGCAAUGUAGUCUUUUGCUUUUGAUUUGUUUUCCAAUUAGUCUCUGCUACAGUACCUGAUGCCGCGCGUGACAAACAUUGCACGACAGGAACUUGAGGAAGUAUGCAGGAUCAAGGAGGCUGCGACGCAUAUCAUCUUCCAGUGCCCUUUUGCCCAAAACUUCUAGCGGGCACUCCAGUUUGAUCUAUCGGAGGACAUCACCACCGCAGCACUUGAUCAGCUGCCCCGCCCAGGUCACGUUCCAAGCAAGCACUUCGAGACCUUGAUCCUCUUGUGCUGCUGGCAGCUCUGGAAGCGGAGGAAUGGAGUUGUCUUCCGUGGGGAACACAAGACACUGAGGCAAAUGCUGAUGGCUUGCAAGGCGGACGUGGCGCUGCCGGGUAAAGCAAGCCUCCGUGGUGUAAUUUAUUUUCUACGGCAAUGUAAAUCUCAAGAUGUAAAACAGCUGUAAAACUCUAUCAUGUGGGGGAUUAUCUCCCCUCCGUAAAACAUUUUAAAAAAAGUCUGCUAGCGGUGUGGUUCAUUAUGUAUUCAUAUAAGAAAGACUUGCAGACUGUCAUAUAAAAAAAACUAAACCGUGUGU